GACGAACGCUGGCGGCGUGCUUAACACAUGCAAGUCGAACGGACAGACAGAGAGCUUGCUCUCUUGAAGUUAGUGGCGAACGGGUGAGUAACGCGUAAUCAACCUGCCCUUCAGAGGGGGAUAACAACGGGAAACCGUUGCUAAUACCGCGUACGAUUCAUGAACGGCAUCGUUUAUGAAUGAAAGGUGGCCUCUAUGUAUAAGCUAUCGCUGAAGGAGGGGAUUGCGUCUGAUUAGCUAGUUGGGGGGGUAACGGCCAACCAAGGCAAUGAUAAGUAGCCGGUCUGAGAGGAUGAACGGCCACAUUGGGACUGAGACACGGCCCAAACUCCUACGGGAGGCAGCAGUGGGGAAUCUUCCGCAAUGGACGAAAGUCUGACGGAGCAACGCCGCGUGAGUGAUGAAGGUCUUCGGAUUGUAAAGCUCUGUUAAUCGGGACGAAAGAGUUCUGCGUGAAUAAUGCAGAAAAGUGACGGUACCGGAAUAGAAAGCCACGGCUAACUACGUGCCAGCCGCCGCCGUAA
rnacentral:rRNA from 1 species